UACAGAGACUGCAAGCGUUAUUCGGAUUCACUGGGCGUAAAGGGUGCGCAGGCGGCCAAGUGUGUGAGGCGUGAAAGCCCGGGGCUUAACUGCGGAAUUGCACCUCAAACUACAUGGCUAGAGCAUUGGAGAGGGUAGCGGAAUUCACGGUGUAGCAGUGAAAUGCGUAGAUAUCGUGAGGAACACCAGAGGCGAAGGCGGCUACCUGGACAAUUGCUGACGCUCAGGCACGAAAGCGUGGGGAGCAAAAGGG
rnacentral:rRNA from 1 species